rnacentral:rRNA from 1 species
GUUAGGAAUCGUACACAAUGGGCGAAAGCCUGAUGUCGUGACGCCGCGUGAAGGAAGAAGGUCUUCGGAUUGUAAACUUCUUUUUUAUGGGAAGAUUAUGACUUUACCAUAAGAAUAAGCAUCGGCUAACUCCGUGCCAGAAGCCUCGGUAAUACGGAGGAUCCGAGCGUUAUCCGGAUUUAUUGGGUUUAAAGGGUGCGUAGGUGGAUUGAUAAGUCAGCGGUGAAAGUUUGCAGCUUAACUGUAAAAUUGCCGUUGAAACUGUCGGUCUUGAGUGCAAAUGAGGUAGGCGGAAUGUGUUGUGUAGCGGUGAAAUGCUUAGAUAUAACACAGAACUCCGAUUGCGAAGGCAGCUUACUGGGAUGCAACUGACACUGAUGCACGAAAGCGUGGGUAUCAAACAGGAUUAGAAACCCGUGUAGUCC